rnacentral:tRNA from 1 species
GCCACCGUAACUCAGCUGGUAGAGUAGCUGAUUUGUAAUCAGCCUGUCGUGGGUUCGAGUCCCUCCGGUGGCUCCA